UCUCUAAAAAUCAUCAAAUUCCUAGUCGAAUAUCCGAAUAUAUCGGAACGGCUGUCAACUCCCGCUGCUGUUCUGGCUGACAUUGCCAUCGCCAUCCUCACGUCAUAUGUCAUUCGGUUUCAAUAUAUUUAAUUAAGAGACUAAAGUUCUAAACACUAUAAACUUCCUACCCAAAUUAAUAUUUAGUGUCCAGUGCCUGUCAAACGAGAUUAGUGCUCUUCACAAAAUAGGAAUAGGAAAGAAGGAAUUAGCUACCUAUUUAUAAAUCCAAUAAUCCCGGUUUGGUUUUCAACUUUUUAUUAUGAACAUUAAAUUAGUAUGAAGACCAUUCCACAAAAUGUCUAUGUUUAUGGGUGACGUAAAGGCAAAACAUAAAUGCUAUGUCCCAGGCUGCAUAGGGCUGUAUUCUAGCCGCUACGUUUUUUCAACGGAUGCCAAAUAUAGACAGCAAUGGAUAAUUAUUAUUAAAAAUCCUUGCUUAGAAAGCACUAGUGAAAUAAUUCAAACAGAACACUGCGUUUGUGCCAAUCAUUUUGCCCCAGAGUUCAUUCUACCCCCAAUCAUCAGACCAAAACACUAAGUAUCAAAGCACUUAGAGAGGAUAAGUUGUACCACGUGAUAUGGUACAUGAAUGUAGCCAUAUUUUCUAAUUAUUAUUCUUUUGUAGUACUGAACAUAAUUAAUUUUAUGUCUAAAUAGAAUAUUGGUGUUUUUUCUAAAUAUAAUAUUAAAUUAAAA